GAUGAACGCUGGCGGCGUGCCUAAUACAUGCAAGUCGAGCGAACAGACGAGGAGCUUGCUCCUCUGACGUUAGCGGCGGACGGGUGAGUAACACGUGGAUAACCUACCUAUAAGACUGGGAUAACUUCGGGAAACCGGAGCUAAUACCGGAUAAUAUAUUGAACCGCAUGGUUCAAUAGUGAAAGACGGUUUUGCUGUCACUUAUAGAUGGAUCCGCGCCGCAUUAGCUAGUUGGUAAGGUAACGGCUUACCAAGGCAACGAUGCGUAGCCGACCUGAGAGGGUGAUCGGCCACCCUGAAACUGAGACACGGUCCAAACUCCUACGGGAGCAACCAGUAGGGAAUCUUCCGCAAUGGGCGAAAGCCUGACGGAACAACGCUGCGUGAGUGAUGAAGGUAUUCGGAUCGUAAAACUCUGUUAUUAGGGAAGAACAAAUGUGUAAGUAACUAUACACGUCUUGACGGUACCUAAUCAGAAAGCCACGGCUAACUACGUG
rnacentral:rRNA from 1 species